GUAUAGGUUUGUGGGCACAAAGGCCCAUUUCAAUUACAUUCUAUAACAUACAUGGUGUAUUAUGAAGAAAACAUAGGUCUGGAAAUGUAAGGAAAGACAAAAGUCAAUCCUCAAACCUGAAUGCCAGAGCAUUCAGAAAGAUAUCCAGAUCUACAAAAGGUGCACAGGUGGAGAUAUAAAGAUGACAAGUGUGCACAUGCUCCCUAGAGAGCCAGCAGCAACCCAUCAGGUUUAUUUCAAUAAUGAUCCUUCCGCAGGUUCACCUACGGAAA
rnacentral:misc_RNA from 1 species